GAUGAACGCUGGCGGCGUGCUUAACACAUGCAAGUCGAACGGAAAGGCCAUGCUCUUGUGGGGUGCUCGAGUGGCGCACGGGUGAGUAUCACGUGAGUAACCCGUCCUUGACCUUGUGAUAUCUUCAGGGAACUGGGGCUCAUAUCGGAUAGGAGCUACUGCUCCAUGGUGGGGGAUGGUAAGUUUCGGUGGUGGUGGCUGGACUGGCUGCUUAUCAGCUUGUUGGUGGGGUAGUGGCUUACCAAGGCUUUGACGGGUAGCCGGCCUGAGAGGGGGACCGGCGACAUGGCGACUGAGAGAGGGCGCAGUCGCGUACGGGAGGCAGCAGGGGGAAAUAUGGCAGAGUGAGGGGAAGCCUGAUACGACAGCGCCGCGAGCGUGAUGCCGGCCUUCGGGUUAAAAACCGCUUUCGCCUGUGACGAAGCGGGAGUGACGGUAAUGGGUAAAGAAGCACCGGCUAACUACGUG
rnacentral:rRNA from 1 species